UACAGGGGGGGCAAGCGUUAUUCGGAAUUAUUGGGCGUAAAGGGCGCGUAGGCGGCUUUUCAAGUGACGGGUGAAAUCCCUCGGCUUAACCGAGGAACUGCCUGUCAGACUGGAAGGCUUGAGACCGGGAGAGGUGAGUGGAAUUCCCAGUGUAGCGGUGAAAUGCGUAGAUAUUGGGAGGAACACCAGUGGCGAAGGCGGCUCACUGGACCGGAACUGACGCUGAGGCGCGAAAGCGUGGGGAGCAAACAGG
rnacentral:rRNA from 1 species